AACGUCGAUUUAUAAUCUGAAACUACUGCGACAUAUUAGUGAGCAUGUAUAUAGGCAACCAAGCAUGCACAUAGAGUUGGUUAUAAUAACGCUGUCAUUUUCAAGUGUGAUUGUUACGUAUUACAUUCAUUAUGAUACAUUCCACGCGACUUUGUUCACGUUAGGCAUAAAUAUUCCGAAAUUAAUUCUGAUUCACGCUUCGUUUCAUUUUUGUUUUUAUUUAAAAACUGUCAGAUCACAUAUUGACAGAUUGAUUUCAAGGUUAAACCAAGAACAUAACUUAACCACGAUUUUUCAAGAUUACCAAACGAUUAUUACCAAAGCAACGAAGUUAAACAAAGUGUAUCGAUGUACGAAUAUAUUUAUUGUUGCUAAUAACUCAGUAUGGAUUACUUAUGAGUUGUAUCAUUUGAUUAUCUUGUUGGAACACGCUGGGAGUGAAGAAAACGUUGAGAAAGUCAAACGGAAUUUCUUUUUGAAGAUUUACGCGUCGAUGUGGAGUUGUAUUACAUUCUGCAGUCUUUGCGCGAUGUUUUUGUGUGCUGCUAGUUGCACACAUACAUGUCGUCAAUUUACUGUGAUGUUUUGUGAUAAAAUUAUCCAGGAAAAUAUUGAUAUUCCAAUGAAUUUAGCACAGAAUCAAGUGCAGUUUACGAUUGGGUCUAAAAGUGCGAUGAAUAUUGAACUUUUAUUUAAGAUUUUGGGUGCGAUUGUUACUAAUUUGGUGAUAUUAACACAAUUUAGCAAGCAGGUUUAGUGUGGAUUACUUUCGGGUUGUGUGAUUAACCCAAUUAGUAUCAUAAUCUCAUUAAAAUUGAUUUAAUUCGUGUUCAAAGUAAGCAUUUCCUCGUUAGUUGCGAUAAUUUUAAAUUGACAGCAUUGGUUGUAACUAGCGCCAACUGGCGGCGAGUAUUGGAACUAAAACGUUUGCUUUUUAUUGACUCACACAUUUCGAACUUUCAAAAUAGAAUAAAAUAAAAUAAAAACGUUUAAAAUAGUA